UACGGGGGGGGGCAAGCGUUGUUCGGAAUUACUGGGCGUAAAGGGCUCGUAGGCGGCCAACUAAGUCAGACGUGAAAUCCCCUCGGCUUAACCGGGGGAACUGCGUCUGAUACUGGAUGGCUUGAGUUUGGGAGAGGGAUGCGGAAUUCCAGGUGUAGCGGUGAAAUGCGUAGAUAUCUGGAGGAACACCGGUGGCGAAGGCGGCAUCCUGGACCAAUACUGACACUGAGGAGCGAAAGCCAAGGGGAGCAAACGGG
rnacentral:rRNA from 1 species